GAGUUUGAUCAUGGCUCAGGACGAACGCUGGCGGCGCGCCUAACACAUGCAAGUCGAGCGUGAACCCGGGCUUCGGCCCGGGGGAAAGCGGCGAACGGGUGCGUAACACGUGAGCAACCUGCCUCGGAGACCGGGAUAACCCGGGGAAACCCGGGCUAAUACCGGAUGCCCUCGCCCGGCCGCAUGGCCGGACGAGGAAAAGGGCUUCCGCUCCGAGAUGGGCUCGCGGCCUAUCAGCUUGUUGGUGGGGUAACGGCCCACCAAGGCGACGACGGGUAGCUGGUCUGAGAGGACGAUCAGCCACACUGGGACUGAGACACGGCCCAGACUCCUACGGGAGGCAGCAGUGGGGAAUCUUGCGCAAUGGGGGAAACCCUGACGCAGCGACGCCGCGUGCGGGAUGAAGGCCUUCGGGUUGUAAACCGCUUUCAGCAGGGACGAAAUUGACGGUACCUGCAGAAGAAGGCCCGGCCAACUACGUGCCAGCAGCCGCGGUAAUACAAGGG
rnacentral:rRNA from 1 species